UACAGAGGGUGCGAGCGUUGUCCGGAAUCACUGGGCGUAAAGGGCGCGUAGGCGGCCCGGUAAGGUUGCGGUGAAAGCCCGGGGCUCAACCCCGGGUCGGCCGUGGCAACUGCUGGGCUGGAGCACAGUAGAGGCGGGUGGAAUUCCGGGUGUAGCGGUGGAAUGCGUAGAGAUCCGGAAGAACACCGGUGGCGAAGGCGGCCUGCUGGGCAGUAGCUGACACUGAGGAGCGAAAGCGUGGGGAGCGAACAGG
rnacentral:rRNA from 1 species